ACGAUGAAUGCUAAGUGUUGGAGGGUUUCCGCCCUUCAGUGCUGCAGCUAACGCAUUAAGCAUUCCGCCUGGGGAGUACGGCCGCAAGGCUGAAACUCAAAGGAAUUGACGGGGGCCCGCACAAGCGGUGGAGCAUGUGGUUUAAUUCGAAGCUACGCGAAGAACCUUACCAGGUCUUGACAUACUAUGCAAAUCUAAGAGAUUAGACGUUCCCUUCGGGGACAUGGAUACAGGUGGUGCAUGGUUGUCGUCAGCUCGUGUCGUGAGAUGUUGGGUUAAGUCCCGCAACGAGCGCAACCCUUAUUAUCAGUUGCCAGCAUUAAGUUGGGCACUCUGGUGAGACUGCCGGUGACAAACCGGAGGAAGGUGGGGAUGACGUCAAAUCAUCAUGCCCCUUAUGACCUGGGCUACACACGUGCUACAAUGGAUGGUACAACGAGUUGCGAACUCGCGAGAGUAAGCUAAUCUCUUAAAGCCAUUCUCAGUUCGGAUUGUAGGCUGCAACUCGCCUACAUGAAGUCGGAAUCGCUAGUAAUCGCGGAUCAGCAUGCCGCGGUGAAUACGUUCCCGGGCCUUGUACACACCGCCCGUCACACCAUGAGAGUUUGUAACACCCAAAGUCGGUGGGGUAACCUUUUAGGAACCAGCCG
rnacentral:rRNA from 2 species